rnacentral:rRNA from 1 species
UACGGAGGGGGCUAGCGUUGUUCGGAAUUACUGGGCGUAAAGCGCACGUAGGCGGAUCAGCAAGUUAGGGGUGAAAUCCCGGGGCUCAACCCCGGAACUGCCUUUAAGACUGCAUCGCUUGAAUCCAGGAGAGGUGAGUGGAAUUCCGAGUGUAGAGGUGAAAUUCGUAGAUAUUCGGAAGAACACCAGUGGCGAAGGCGGCUCACUGGACUGGUAUUGACGCUGAGGUGCGAAAGCGUGGGGAGCAAACAGG